ACAGAACUGAGUGAGUACCGCAGUCGCAAGGACAUGCUAGCACCCUCUCUGAUUUUCAGCUGUAGAGUGAGAACGCUACCCAGAUCAUUUUAAGGGAGCAUGAUUCCAGUGACAGAAUUCCGGCAGUUCACGGAACAGCAGCCAGCGUUCCGGGUUCUGAAGCCAUGGUGGGAUGUGUUCACAGACUACCUCUCUGUGGUCAUGCUCAUGAUAGGCGUGUUUGGAUGCACUCUGCAGGUGAUGCAAGACAAAAUCAUAUGCCUUCCUCAAAGGUCAAAUCAGACAGAGCUGAUGAAUGCAACUGUUCCCUCAUCACCUGUAUCCUCAGUGCCUGUGGUCCAUGAGCUGAAAGGACUGAAGACCAACUUGGAUAUUCAGCAGUAUAACUACAUAAAUCAAAUAUGCUACGAAAAGGCACUUCAUUGGUAUGCCAAGUAUUUCCCAUAUCUGGUUCUCAUACAUACCCUCAUUUUCAUGGUGUGCAGCAAUUUCUGGUUCAAGUUUCCUGGCUCCAGCUCAAAAAUUGAGCACUUUAUAUCAAUACUAGGCAAGUGUUUUGACUCUCCGUGGACUACAAGAGCUCUGUCAGAAGUAUCAGGGGAGAAUCCUGAAGAGAAAGACAACAAAAAGAACAGUGACAGUAGGUCAAACCUUGAUACUCCAAUUGGUGAGGGCAACCUAGAGAAGACUCCAUCUCUCAGAUCCAUUCCUGAGAAAAUUGUUGUGGACAAGCCAGCACCCAGUGUCCUUGACAAGAAGGAGGGAGAGCAAGCCAAGGCCUUGUUUGAGAAGGUCAAAAAAUUUCGCCUACACGUGGAGGAGGGUGAUAUAUUGUAUGUAAUGUAUGUCCGUCAGACUGUUGUAAAAGUGCUCAAAUUUAUCCUUAUAAUUGCUUACAACAGUGCUCUGGUGUCAAAGGUUCGGUUCACUGUUAGUUGUACUGUGGACAUACAACACAUGAUAGGUUACCGGGACUUCUUUUGCAAUCAUACUAUGGCCCACUUGUUCUCUAAGCUCUCCUACUGUUAUUUGUGUUUUGUCAUUGUUUAUGGACUCACUUGCCUUUAUACAUCCUACUGGUUGUUCUAUCGUUCUCUGAAGGAAUACUCUUUUGAAUAUGUAAGGCAAGAGACUGGAAUUGAUGACAUCCCAGAUGUGAAGAACGACUUUGCUUUCAUGUUACACAUGAUCGAUCAGUAUGAUCCACUGUACUCCAAGAGGUUUGCCGUGUUUCUAUCAGAGGUCAGUGAAAACAAGCUUAAACAGCUCAACCUCAACCAUGAGUGGACAGCUGACAAGCUUCGUCAGAAGCUGCAGACCAAUAGCAAUAACAGGCUGGAGCUUCAGCUCUUCAUGCUCUCUGGUCUCCCGGAUACCAUCUUUGAGGUGACAGAGCUGCAGUCUUUGAAGCUUGAGAUUAUUAACAAUGUUACCAUACCUGCAGCUAUCGCCAAGCUGGAGGAUCUCCAGGAGCUUUCACUUUAUCAGUGCUCGCUCAAGAUCCACAGCGCAGCCACAUCAUUCCUCAAGGAGAACUUGAAGGUGUUGCGAGUGAAGUUUGAUGACUUUCGUGAACUUCCGCAGUGGUUGUAUGUGUUGCGGAACUUGGAAGAACUCCAUCUGAUUGGCUCUUUGUGUUCUGAUGCAUCAAAGAAUAUAACCCUAGACUCUCUACGAGAACUAAAGGCGCUCAAGACCCUGACACUCAAGAGCAACUUCAGCAAGAUCCCUCAGUCUAUUGUGGAUGUGGCCAGCCAUCUACAACGUCUCUGUAUUUGCAAUGAUGGCACCAAGCUGGUCAUGCUAAACAACCUUAAAAAGAUGGUGAAUCUUGUAGAACUUGAGUUGGUGCACUGCGACCUGGAACGCAUACCGCACGGCAUUUUCAGCCUUACUAAUCUGCAGACAUUGGACCUGAAGGAGAACAAUCUACGCUCCAUUGAAGAGAUUGUCAGCUUCCAGCACCUCCGUAAACUGACCUGUCUGAAGCUCUGGCACAAUGGCAUCACUUUUAUUCCUGAACACAUAAAAAAACUUGGCAGCUUGGAGCGCCUAUACCUCAGCCACAACAAGAUCGAGAUUCUGCCUUCACACUUGUUCCUCUGCACCAAACUGCGCUACCUCGAUCUCUCCAACAACGACAUCCGUUUUAUCCCACCGGAGGUCGGCGUUCUCCAGAGCCUUCAAUAUUUUUCUGUUAGUUGUAAUAAACUCGAAAAUAUUCCAGAUGAACUCUUUUUCUGUAAGAAGCUGAAAAAUCUCAAGCUCGGCAGGAACACACUGUCUGUUCUCUCGCCAAAGAUUUCUUACCUAAGUGUACUGACUCACUUGGAGUUAAAGGGUAAUCACUUUGAGGUCUUGCCAGCCGAACUGGGCUGUUGCCGUACCUUGAAGCGGAGUGGACUUGUGGUAGAAGAUGUGCUGUUUGAGACGCUGCCUUCAGAUGUCAGGGAACAAAUGCAAGAAGAGUGAUGUUCAAAUGGUUUGCUUUAAUGCCAAAUGCUAAUCGGACUUCUUAAGAGACAACACUUGAAGGUUCCAUCCUGUAGUAUGUGUUGUGAUCUAUAUGGGAAGGUCUUGCCAUUUCUUCCUAUGUCUGUGACUGAAGUGCUUUUCAGUGUUGCACAAAGUGCAGAAGUGAGGAAAAGCUCUUCACUAGACCCCAGGCCUUUAUAAAUCGAUAGCAAGCUAAUGACCCUGGACACUUUGAUCUUGAUGAUUCACCCUGAAGAGAAGAUGGCUAUCUGUUCAACCAUGACAAGGUGAAAUCAAUAGCAGCUGUCAGUGGAACGGUGGAUAGAGGCAAAAGGACAUUUUCAAGGUUCCCAUCAGAGGACAAUACAGACUUGAAUGCAAAAUAAACCAGUUUAUGUAGAUUAGCUUCAAUUUAAAGCAUGUUUAAACACAGUCUUAGAAAUUGCUGUUCCUUGCAGUCUUUCAGCCAUUUUCUCCCAGAGCUAAAGCUAAGCUAGUCUUCCACUGUAUUUAGAUGGCUACAUGGCUAUUGAAAAGGCAAAGGUGUGAGUGCCAAGAACUGCCCUCCUGUACCCAGAAUUUGCCUGUGGGACAAAUGUGAGUGUAGAAUGUGGGAUUCAUCUUGUCAUUCUGUGUUUCAAACAAACACCGAGACAAAGACCUUUAAGGGUUUCUGUUAUCUACCGUCCUUUGUCUCCCUCUGUGUGUGCAAAUAGCUGUUCAUGCAAACCCUCUUCCGACCCUCACCUUAACACUAAAUAUGACCUACACUAUUAGGUUAAUGUGGCAUUAAAAUACAAGUAUGGUAAACCUGCAAGACUUGAUUGUCCAGUGGGGUCAGAGGGCAAAGCCUCUUUAAUCUUAUUUGCAACCAUAUGGCUUACUUCUUGUAAAACAUUUAUUUAUUUACAUUUAUUUACAUAUGAAAAAGACAGACAACUUGAAAAGGCAUGCAUUUACUGUGAACGAAAUGUGUGUAUUAUUAUUAUCAUUACUCAAUAGGUUUAUAGGGUACUAUUAUGUUUUAGCUUGUUUUUCCUAUCUUGUUCAUCCAUAUCAGCUGUAAUAGAAAUAAUAUUUUAAUAGUAUAGCCCUAUUUUUCAUUGUUGGGGCAACCAUAUGUGUUCCAGUGGCAUUCAUAUUAACUCACCGAGCACUUUAUUAGGAACACUAUGGUCCUAUGCUGUUUUGAAUACAGCAGCCAUAUCACCCAGCAGCUCUUGCCUGGUUGCCCACUAUAGCUAAGCAGGGUUGAUCCUGGAUGGGAGACCUCUUGGGGAAAACUGAGGUUGCUGCUGGAAGCAGUAUUAGGGUGGUCAGCAGGGGGUGCUCACCCUGUGGUCUGUGUGGGUCCUAAUGCCCCAGUAUAGUGAUGGGCACAAUAUACUGUAAAAAGGCUGUCUUUCAGAUGAGAUGUUAAACUGAGGUCCUGACUCUCUGUGGUCAUUAAAAAUCCCAGGACACUUCUCAUAAAGAGUAGGAGUGUAACCCUGGUGCCCUGGCCAAAUUCCCUUAUUGGCCCUUCUCAAUCAUGGCCUCCUAAUAAUCUCCAUCCAUUAACUGGCUCUAUAACUCUACUCUCUCCUCUCCACCAAUAGCUGGUGAGUGUACUGGUGCACUAUGACUGCAAUCGCAUCAUCCAGGUGGAUGCUGCACACUGGUGGUGGUUGAGGAGAUUCCCCCUCAGGCCUGGUUCUAUGGGGGUGCUUGAGGGUGCUAAGCACGCUCAAAUGAACCUGAGCGCACCCUCAAUUGCAGACCAGGGCAAAUUACUGCCCGCGGGUCGAUUUAUCAUGAAUGUGUUUUAUUAGAGCUUUCAUUUAUCUGGCUUUGGGACCUAUCACAUAUCCACAAGUAUUUAAUAUGCUCAGGGUUGUCAUAAUAGAUACAACAUCCCAAUCAGAGAUAUAUACUUGCACAAAUUGGAAAUAUUUCACCUUAUGUCAUACUUAAUUUAUGCAAUCUGCCAACCAUGUGUGCGAGUGCGCGCUUUCUCCUCUUCGAAAAAAAUAAAAUACUUAACGCUCAACAGUGCAAUAUUCUGCUCAAAGAAAAGUGUGAUGUAGCCACUCCACGUCCAUUCGUGAGGCUGCGUGUGCUGUUUAGUGGCAAGUCUGCGAGCAAACCUUUUCAGUGAUGAUCUUUAGUAAAAUCCCAAUAGAUCUUCGCAUCAUUCGCACAUGGAGGGGACAUGCGAGCAAAUCCGAGUGAGAGAGGAAUAGGACUGUUUUUUUGUGUUAUUUGUAAAAUGUCCCUCACACCUGUAUGUGAAUGUUACUCUGCCAGUAAUCAUUUAUCACUGUCAUGCAGCCUGUUUUAUUCAGUUGUGUGCUGAAUGGGAUGCCAAACAAACAAUUGAUGAGACAUACAUCAUGACCCA